UUUGCUAUACUUCAACAUAAUCAACAUAAAAUCUUUGAUAAACAUAGCGCGGCAAGAGACCCGUAAUACUACAAAACCAAACCGCCUUUGCACUUCGUACCGCCCAAACGCCCCCGUCGGAACCACCGCCACCACCACGACGAUCGACGAUCGACGACGGCGACAUUUGUAUAAAUGGGAAAACCAAAACAACAAGUAAUUUCCCGCUUCUUUGCACCAAAACCAAAGAACGAAAAAGACCCUUUAACUUCAACUUCAACCUCAACUCCUCCCUGUACUCCACCUCCCAAAAUUACUACCACCGUCACCUUUUCACCUGCAAAACGCCUCAGAACUUCUCAACUCACUUCUCCUCCUUCCACAAAACACACCAAAAUCCCUAAGCUAUCACCUCACGUACACAACCAACCCCCUCCUCUUCCUAACCCCACUCUCCACCAGAGGUUCCUGGAUAAACUUCUAGAACCAUCUAUCGACCGUCUGGAACCUUCCAAAUGUUAUGAUAUUCGAAACCCCAAGUACACACCAUUAGAGCAACAAGUUGUGGAGCUUAAGGCCAAGUAUCCAGACAUUUUAUUGAUGGUCGAAGUUGGUUAUAAGUACAGAUUUUUUGGUCAGGAUGCAGAAAAUGCUGCUAGGGUUUUAGGAAUUUAUGCACAUAUGGAUCACAAUUUCUUAACAGCUAGUGUACCGACUUUUCGGUUGAAUGUCCAUGUAAGGAGGCUGGUGAAUGCAGGAUACAAAGUUGGUGUUGUUAAACAAACGGAGACUGCUGCAAUUAAGGCACAUGGCUCAAAUAAAUUGGGCCCUUUUGGCCGUGAGUUAUCAGCAUUGUACACGAAAGCUACUCUGGAGGCUUCGGAAGAUGUAGGGGGUGGAGAUGAGGGGUUUGGGUCAUGUAAUAACUAUUUGGUUUGUGUUGUCGAGAAGGGAAUCGAGGAUGUUGAUUUUGGGAUUGAGGGUUGUAGGGGGAAUGAUGUGAAAAUCGGGGUUGUUGGGGUUGAGGUUUCGACCGGGGAUGUUGUUUAUGGGGAGUUUAAUGAUAAUUUUAUGAGGGCCGGGUUGGAGGCAUUGAUCCUCAACUUGUUGCCAGCUGAAUUGCUUGUUGGCAGGCCUAUAUCUAAGCAGUCAGAGAAGCUGCUACUGGCUUAUGCUGGACCGGCAUCUAAUGUUCGGGUGGAGGAUGUAUCAUCAGACCAGUUCAGUGAUGGCGGUGCUCUUGCUGAAGUGAUGUCUCUAUAUGAGGGCAUGCAGGAAAAUUAUUUGUUAAAUGUCCAAGAAAGGGAAGAGGCUGAGGUGAAAAUGCACGAACAGAAUCGAAUUGCAAUCCAGGGAAUUAUGGUAAUGCCUGGUCUGGCUAUACAAGCAUUGGCCUUAAUUAUUAGACAUCUAAAACAGUUUGGUUUGGAAAGAAUUCUGUGCUUGGGAGCUUCAUUUCGUCCCUUCUCUGGCAACAUGGAGAUGACCCUUUCAGCCAAUGCACUGCAGCAACUUGAGGUUUUGAAGAAUAAUUUUGACGGAUCUGAGUCUGGCUCCUUACUGCAUUGUAUGAAUCAGACACUUACCAUAUUUGGUUCAAGGCUUCUCAGGCAUUGGGUGACUCAUCCUUUAUGUGAUAGAAACAUGAUAGGUGCUCGUCUUGACGCAGUCUCAGAGAUUGCAGAAUCUAUGAAAACUUAUCGAACUUCUCAUACUUCUGUCUUAGAGGUGGAAGGUGCUGAUGUUACCAUUUUGCAACCAGAGAUACAUCAUAUAAUUUCUUCAGUUCUGUCCACUCUGGGAAGGUCACCAGAUAUCCAACGCGGGAUUACAAGAAUUUUUCACAAAAAAGCUACCGCAUCUGAGUUUAUUGCAGUCAUUCAAGCUAUCUUGACUGCUGCAAAACAACUUCAGCAGCUUUGGAUAGAAGAGUAUAAAAGUACGAAUCUACAAAGAGAGACCUUGCGCUCAGUACUGUUGAGAAAGUUAAUAUCAAUUGCCUCAUCGUCUACUGUUAUUAAUGCUGCUGCAAAGUUUUUGUCUGCUUUAAACAAGGAAGCCGCUGACAGACGAGAUCUUCACAAUUUAUUCUUCAUUUCUGACGGAAAGUUCCCUGAGGUUGCUGAAGGUACAAGGAGAGUUGAGUUGGCAAAUGAGAAGUUAGACUCAUUAAUUGUUGUGUAUCGCAAGCAGCUUCAUAUCCGCAAUUUGGAGUACAUGAGUGUAGCUGGAAUUACACAUUUGAUAGAGCUGCCUCUAGACACAAAGGUGCCGCCAGAUUGGGUGAAAGUGAACAGUACUAAGAAAGCAAUACGCUAUCAUCCACCAGAAGUAUUGGUGGCUUUAGAUGAAUUAGCAUUGGCAAAUGAGCAGCUCACUGUCGUUUGCCAAGCUGCUUGGAAUAAUUUUUUAACGAGGUUUGGUGGAUACUUUGCUGAGUUCCAAGCUGCUGUGCAGGCCCUGGCUUCAUUGGAUUGUCUAAAUUCUCUUGCCAUUCUUUCGAGGAAUAAGAAUUAUGUCCGUCCACUUUUUGUGAAAGAUGAUGAGGCUGUUCAGAUACAUAUUUUCUCUGGUCGUCACCCGGUUUUGGAGAGAGUAUUACAAGAGAACUUUGUCCCAAAUGAUACAGAUUUGCAUGCAGAAAGAGAGUAUUGUCAGAUUGUUACUGGACCAAAUAUGGGAGGAAAAAGCUGCUAUAUUCGCCAAGUUGCUCUCAUCACUUUGAUGGCUCAGGUUGGAUCCUUUGUUCCAGCGUUCUCUGCAAAACUGCAUGUGCUAGAUGGCAUAUAUACUCGCAUGGGUGCAUCCGACAGUAUACAGCAAGGAAGAAGUACAUUCUUAGAAGAACUCAGCGAGGCUUCUGAAAUACUGAAAAAAUGCUCAGCCAGCUCAUUGGUUAUACUUGAUGAACUUGGGAGAGGUACCAGUACACAUGACGGCGUAGCAAUUGCUUAUGCAACACUUCAGUAUCUCCUAGAACACAAGAAAUGCAUGAUUCUAUUUGUCACCCAUUACCCUGAAAUUGUCAGUAUCAAGAAUGAAUAUCCAGGCUCUGUGGGACCAUACCAUGUGUCAUAUCUGACAUCCCAAAGAGAAGUGAAUGGGGAUUUCAAGCCAAAUGAGAAGAUGGAUCACAUCAAUAGUGAAGACAUCACCUACCUUUACAAACUUGCACCAGGGGUCUGCGAGAGAAGUUUUGGUUUUAAAGUUGCUCAGCUUGCACAACUGCCGGUUGCGUGUAUUCAACGAGCCAUUGUAAUAGCUGGAAGACUAGAAGCAGCAGUCUCUAACUACACAGCGCAAAAUCGAACUAGAAGGAGCUCUUCGAUAAGUUAUAGCAAAGAUGGUUGUAAAGUAUCUGAACCAGUGGAGUAUGUCUUAGAACCUGAUUGCUUGUCUGCUGGAAGAGUUGAAAACUUAGAUGAUAUGAGCGAGCUUUACAGGGAGUUCUUUCUGAACCUAAGCUUCGCACUUCUUGAAGAACAUGAUGAUGACAGGAAGCUCCAGUUUCUAAUGCAGGCUAGAAGCCUUGCUGCUCAGUUAAUAAUGGGUAAUUGUGUCUCCUGGAAAGGAGAAAAAAGGGUGCUCAGGCCCAACCAUCCUUAUUUGUAGCUGUGGCUGCGCUUCAUUGCGUCUUCUGUAAAUGCUGAGCUGCUUGCCUGCUUGUACAGUAAUAUUAAGGGGACAACUAUUUUGGUCAAAAUAGAGAAGACAAAUUCCUUGCUUUGUAUCAUUCAGAUGACGGUAGUGUUCAAGUUGGCCUGGAGAGCUUCAUCUUGACUGGUUCAGUUGCCAAUUCGCUGCAGCCUACAGUCACUGGUAUAAUGAGAACCUGCUCAUGGAAGUUGGAGUAGAUGGGCUUACACCAAGUGUAGUGGCUGGAUUUAAGAAUUCUAUUCUUAUUCCUCUCGUGUCCAAGUAUUCCCUAUUGCCCAUCAAUUUUCAAUAGUUGUAGACAGAAGCUAAUCUGUCUUAGGCCCAUGGUAGUCUGCUGCUCUUUCCAGAGAUUGCACCAGCAUAAACCAGUGGUUCAGUAUCAUGAUGCGUCUAAAGUCAUCCUUUUGCGAGCAUUUCAUCAUUUUCCUUUAUCAAUUAAGUUAAAAGCUGUAUACAUCUGAAUGAACAGAUAACUGUUGGCCUGGAUGCAUAUGAGGUAACUUCACCUGAUCUUCUUCCAUGCUGAUUCUAACUAUGAUAUGAUUUUGUUAGUACAAUGGUGACCGAGCUGCAAUACAAGAAUACAGGAAGAUGUAAAAAAAAUGACGAGUUCAUGUAUGUUCUAUAUUUGAGAAGGAUAUUAGUAAAAGCAA